rnacentral:rRNA from 1 species
UACGGAGGGUGCUAGCGUUGUUCGGAAUCACUGGGCGUAAAGGGCGUGUAGGCGGCCUGCUAAGUCUGAUGUGAAAUCCCCUCGCUCAACGAGGGAACUGCGUCGGAUACUGGCAGACUCGAGUACCGGAGAGGAAGGUGGAAUUCCCGGUGUAGCGGUGAAAUGCGUAGAUAUCUGGAGGAACACCGGUGGCGAAGGCGGCAUCCUGGACCGGUAUUGACGCUGAGGCGCGAAAGCUAGGGGAGCAAACGGG